rnacentral:misc_RNA from 1 species
AACGCAUAUUGCGCUCUUUGGUAUUCCGAAGAGCAUGCUUGUUUGAGUAUCAGUGAACACCUCAACCUCUCUUUUUGACAAAAAAAAGGGAGGGUGGACUUGAGCUAUCCCAACGACCUUCACCGGUAGGCGGGCGGCUUGAAAUGCAGGUGCAGCUGGACUUUUAUCUGAGCUAAAAGCAUAUCUAUUUAGUCCUCGUCAAACAGGGUUAUUACUUUUGCUGCAGCUAACAUAAAGGAUAAUUGUCCUCUUUGCUGACUGAUGCAGGAUUUUACGACACUUUAUGUGUUGUUCAACUCGAUCUCAAAUCAAGUAAGACUACCCGCUGAACUUAA